AAGAAAAUGGAGAUAGGAUCAAGGAAUCCAAGAUCUGAGAUGUAUAUUUACUGGUACCUACCGGUGGCCCCUCAAUUAUAUGGACACAAUCAUGGUGUGCGUCCCCCUGUGGAGAGAAGGAAUCCAAGAGCUACUGAUGCAUGACAAUUGAAAACCGGAAACCGCACAGCCAGGAAGGAAUUUUCUGUGUGGAAUGUAUCACCUAUGUUAUUGCAAGAAAAUUCUGAAGAGGCGCUCCUGCAUCAAUUCUUUUCGUGACACAGCGGCCCAAAUGAGAACUCAGUUCUCUACCUCUAGAGCGGUUUUAUCAAACAUAUUGUCGGUUUUAUCAACUGCUGCGGUUGAAGGAGAGUGGAUGAUGUCAAAUGGUGAUAAGAUCAAGGAAUGCAAGAGCUGAGCUGUAUAUUGAAUGGUACAUGUACCCACCGGUGGCCCCUCAUUUAUUUCAACCAUGCGUCACUAUUGUUGAAUAUGUUUUUAUAAUUUCAUUAAUUAUAUAUACUUGCAGAUACUCUGUUUUACCUACAACUAAAUGUUUUUAAGAUCGUUUUAGCAUUGCCACUGUGUAAGUGCGGUGAAGUUUAUUUUUCUGUGUUUAAUAAUCUUCUUUAGACCAUCCAGUCCAGUGUCGAUGGUGUCUAAUUUUUCAGUUACUACAAAUGAUUCCCACCAAAUAAUGUGUACAGAAUGCACCACUUUCCAACUUGUGACGCAUGACAUGCAUGGAUCUGCUGCGAAGAUUUUUCUCACUUUUGUCACUGAGGGUUCAGCAGGAACAGGCAAGACACUGUUCUAUGGUAUCAUGUUUUUGUUGCUAUAUAACUUGAUUUUUCCAUACUUCAUUUUUUUUCUAUUGGAUGCUGCUCCAGGACAAAUUGGACACCAGAGUUAUCAUUACCAGGAGGAAUUUCUGUGUGGAAUGUUAUUACCUAUGUUAUGCAAAAAAAUUCCAAAGAGGCGCUCCGGCAUUAAUUCUUUUAAUGAUGCAUCUCUACCUGAGAUUUAUUUUCAACACACUAACUACUACACCCUCCGUUUGAACUAAAACUUAGGUCAAAAAUUAGAACUAAGACCAUGACAUUUAUUUUGGAACGGGGGGAGUACCUCAAUAGUUUAGAGCACCAAACAAAUAUCCCUUUAAUGAUGGUUGUGGGAGCACAUAAGUAAACUGAUAGUAUUAUAAAGGGCACCUGGUGUACGAUGAAUCAUCUGCAGCGCAAAAUAUUGUUGGAGUAAAACUUAAAGAUGGACUGUGGGUUGUCAAUUUGCCAAGGUAGAGAAUGCAAUGCUACCAAUUAAAAAACAAAUAAUUAUUCGAUUUGUUGUGGAAUGUCGCUUGCUGUGCUUUUGGUUUCAAUGUAAACCAAAAAUUCUCCAGCAUUUGUUUUGGGUUUGGAUUAGGAACUUUGGGAGUAGCGAACGUCAGCUGGUUACGGUGGGAGUUCCAGCGCUACUGUAGUCGAUUUGGAGAACGAGAAAUGAUGCUUGUUUUCAUGAUAUCCUUCCACACACAGCCCAGUUUCUGUAACUAAUUUGGGUCGGCUUGCUCUGUUUUGCAGGUAAGGGGGGCAAAUCAAACAACGAUAAACUGGGGAGCCAGAUUGCCCGUGCGCUUAUCAAGUGAAGUUUGAGAUGGCACCGAGAGCAGAUCGAAGAUUGAGAUGUGAUGGCUUGUUGUUGUUGGCUGGAUGUGUGCUCUGCAGUGGUUCACCUGCUGCUGUUACCUAGCUGUUGCUGCCUGCUGAAUUGAUAAGCCAAGUUUUUCUGAACCUCGAGAGUAGGAUUUCCAGCAGAGAGCAGACUGAAGAUUGAUGUGCUUGUUUUGCUCUGCGUUGCGUUUUGUAAUUGGCCGAGUUCUAGUAGAGUAUUGUUGAUAUUUUUUUAUUGAAAUUAGGGGUAAACGUCACAUCCUCUGUUUCA